rnacentral:lncRNA from 1 species
GAACAAGAAACAAUAUUAACUGGCAAAAUUGUUGCUCAGACAAAAAUUUCAAAUGUAUAUGAUGUUAAGAUAACACUUGAUUGCAAUAGAAACAUUAAAAGUGCAACUUGUAAAUGCAAGGCAGGUCUAUCAGGACAAUGUAAGCACGUCUGUGCCUUAGUGCAUUACGUAAAUUCUGCAGAAAGUGCAGAAUCGAAAACCAGUUAUGCACGACAAUGGGGCAAACCAACGUACCGACAGUUACUGGGUUAUGAUAAAGGAGUGACAAUGGCAGAGUUAUUUCCAACUCCACCAAUAAGUAUUAAAGUAUUACGUGUGUUUUACAACUGCAUUUAUCCAUUUAAUUCUUUUAUCCCUAAGCCAUGGCAUGUGAGUACUAUUAGUAGGGAAAUAGUAAAAUUUUACACCCUUGGAGUUGUUUUUGGAUGUAUUACAGCAUCCAGCAAUACAACAAUACAUUUUCAUAACUUAAAUUAGCAAAAUUUAACACGAAUAUUCAGAAUUUUUUCCAUGGUUUGAUAGUACAAUUUUUGACACUUGAGGGAACAGUUUCGGAUAUAAGUCACGAGAUGGCAGGGUCAUCGCUACGCACGGUGCCUAUAGUCCUU